CGGCCUCAGCUUCCCCGCGCGGGGCCGGAAGGCAGCGGGAAGCGCGCCGGCAACUAGCCCCGGAACCACUGUGGCCGCGAGGCCCGCGCGCCACUCCGGCCGGACUCUGGCCGCGCACGUCCCCGCCUCCGAGGGUGAGUGAACUAUUCCAACACUUCAAUCAAAUAUCCCAGUGAAUUUGCUUCAUCUGUGACGCUGAUAAUUCUUUAUGAAGACUGAAAAUGUUACCCAGAAGUUAAAUCCUCCAGCUUCUCGCUUCCAUACUUCCCUGCUUGAGGGCUUAAGAACCAUUCUGCUGCUUCAGUGUGCCGCUGGCAUGGAAAUAUCAGAUCUUUUGAACACUACCCAGUGCUGUGGCAUCAUGGAGAAGCAAGCAGAAGUCAUGUAAUGAACAUCCCCUUGUAGUUUUGUAAUGAGCACCCAUGUGCUUUCCUGUUCCUUGUGGUUCAGUCAGCAAAAUAAACACUUUCUUA